ensembl:lncRNA
ACCUGGGAACCUGUAGAAACACAAAUUCUUGAGCCCAACGCCAGACCUACUGAAGCAUAAGAAAAUUUGGGCGUGGACCCCGCAAUCUGCGUUUUAACAAGCCUUCCAGGUGAUUCUGAUGCAUGCUAAAGUUUGAGAGCCACUGAUGUAGAGGGAAAUGUAAGAUCUUAGGAGUCUGUAUACUACAGUGGUUCGAAGUUGAUGUCACUUUUCCUGAACAACCUCCCAUAAGUUGACCCUCCUCCUGAGACCUGGGAUACCAGCCUCCGUUGGAAGUGAUACUGGAGCCGCUCUUAGACUCCCUCCAGCAGGCCUGCAGCAUCCGUCCCUGGUCUGCUGCGAGUGUUGGCCAUGGGGGUCCCAGCUCCCCCAUUCCCUGGAGAAUCACGUUGUAUUUUAACUCAGAUAAUCUCACCCAAAAUGAAAGCUUGGUGCCAUUUACACAACAUGUCAUAAAGGGUCCACAAUCCAUUUUAGCUGAAUUCAAGAAAAAUACAUUAUUACAAUAUUGCUUGAGUGUUGACAUCUGGUCCCAAGGCCCCGAGACUGGAGGAGGGGAAGCAGUGGUGCGGAGGUUUGGUUUAUGCUCUAGAGCCAUCUGUGGACCAGGCCAAAAUGAGGUUUACUUGAGCCCUCAUCCUUGCUCAGCUCUUUCUCUUCCCCUGCCCUGUUUACAGGGCGCUCUCCCAGUGAAUCACGGACUCCUGAAUCUUGUCCCACCUUCUGCUUCCGGGCAACCCCACUUCAGACAACCCCAUUUACCUGGCUGAGGAGCUGCAGCUCAGGAAGAGUCUUGCCAAGGGCCACACAGAUGGUGGAGAGAAAGCUGGACACAGGAGGGUGAGGAUCUCAUCUUAGAUUUGACAGGGUCUCUGUGCCUGUCCCCACCAACCUGUGGCCUUGCGAAAAGAGAAUGUCCUGUCCUGUCUACCUAAAGCCUAGGUAUGACAUUCAAGUAAAAUAAUGAUGAGAAAAACAUUAUAAAACCUAAAGCCUUAAAAAUUUAAGGGGCCUAUUCUGUUCUCUAAUAAGCAACCUAGAUUCUCUGACUUUUCCUCACACGAUCUCUCCUAAGUCACUCCUGAGAUCUCAGGAUUCUCCACUGCCCUCUCAGCUGGGAGUCCACGGGAGUUGCAUGCUGUUGGAUCCACACUGUCCCACCGUGGAUUCCAGUGAGUCUUUACUCUUUACCUACCUUCACUCCAGCAUUUAAUCAACUUUGGUUAGAAUUUAUGCUCAUUCUUCUUCUUCCACACACUCCAAGUGAAUUUCCUUAAGUCUUUUUUCUUAUUUAAUUUCAUUCUAUCU